GACGAACGCUGGCGGCGUGCCUAACACAUGCAAGUCGAACGGGGUUAAGAGCUUCGGCUUUUAACUUAGUGGCGAACGGGUGAGUAACGCGUGAGAAACCUGCCUUUCAGUGGGGGACAACAGUUGGAAACGACUGCUAAUACCGCAUAAUGUCAUUUAGGGGCAUCCCUGAAUGACCAAAGCUUAAUGUGCUGAAAGAUGGUCUCGCGUCUGAUUAGCUAGAUGGCGGGGUAACGGCCUACCAUGGCGACGAUCAGUAGCCGGUCUGAGAGGAUGAACGGCCACAUUGGGACUGAGAUACGGCCCAGACUCCUACGGGAGGCAGCAGUGGGGAAUAUUGGGCAAUGGGGGAAACCCUGACCCAGCAACGCCGCGUGAAGG
rnacentral:rRNA from 1 species